rnacentral:rRNA from 1 species
UACGGGGGGGGGCAAGCGUUGUUCGGAAUUACUGGGCGUAAAGGGCGCGUAGGCGGUUUGCUAAGUUGGAUGUGAAAACUCUGGGCUUAACCCAGAGCCUGCAUCCAAAACUGGCAAACUUGAGUACUGGAGGGGAAAGCGGAAUUCCUGGUGUAGCGGUGAAAUGCGUAGAUAUCAGGAGGAACACCGAUGGCGAAGGCAGCUCGCUGGGACGGUACUGACGCUGAGGCGCGAAAGCGUGGGGAGCGAACAGG